CCCUCGCUGUGAGUUCAGGCAGCUAGUCGGAGCAGCUGUCGUUAAAACUAAUCUGGAUAUACGGAGAUUUUUCUAAAAGAAAGAGACGCUCUGGUUGGCGCCAUGCCCCUUUGAGACGGAAUCACACCCAUUGGAACAAUGAUGAAUGUGCAGCAGGGUGCCAAGGUGACCAUGCUCUUGCCGGAUAUCCCAAGAGAUUUACCAUGAAUGACACUGCUUUGCUUGACUACUCUCUGGCAUGGUGUUUACAUUUGCUGCCAUUUUGUUACUGACCUUGCCUGUCCCUCAGAACUCUUGUAAGUCUAGUCUCUUUUGUAUUUAUUUCUAUUUAAAACUAGUAUUCAUAAAAGGUUGGGGCCACUGGC